rnacentral:rRNA from 1 species
GCAGUCGAGCGCUCCUUCGGGGAGUGAGCGGCACACGGGUGAGUAACGCGUGGGAACGUACCCUUUGCUACGGGAUAACACAUGGAAACGUGUGCUAAUACCGUAUGUGCCCUUUUGGGGAAAGAUUUAUCGGCAAGGGAUCGGCCCGCGUUGGAUUAUCUAUUUGGUGGGGUAAAGGCCCACCAGGGCGACUAUCCAUAUCUGGUCUGAGAGGAUGAUCACCCACACUGGGACUGACACACGGCCCACACUCCUACGGGAGGCAGCAGUGGGGAAUAUUGGACAAUGGGCGCAAGCCUGAUCCACCCGUGCCGCGUGAGUGAUGAAGGCCCUAGGGUUGUAAAGCUCUUUCACCGGUGAAGAUAAUGACGGUCACCGGAAAAAAACCCCCGGCUAACUUCGUGCCAGCACCCGCGGUAAUACAAAGGGGGCUAGCGUUGUUCAGAUUUACUGGGCGUAAAGCGCACGUAGGCAGACUUUUAAGUCGGGGGUGAAAUCCCGGGGCUCAACCCCGGAACUGCCUUUGAUACUGGAAGUCUUGAAUAUGGUAGAGGUGAGUGGAAUUCCGAGUGUAGAGGUGAAAUUCAUAUAUAUUCAGAAGAACACCAGUGGCGAAGGCGGCUCACUGGACCAUUACUGACUCUGAUGUGCAAAAGCGUGGGGAGCAAACAAGAUUAUAUACCCUGGUACUCCACGCCGUACACUAUGAAUGUUACCCGUCGGGGGGUUUACCUUUCUGUGGCGCAUCUCACGCAUUACACAUUCCGCCUGGAGAGUAC